AGCGAACGUUAGCGGCGGGCCUAACACAUGCAAGUCGAACGCGAAAGGUCUUCGGACUGAGUAGAGUGGCGCACGGGUGAGUAACACGUAGGUAAUCUACCCUUUGGCGGGGGAUAACGUUCCGAAAGGAGCGCUAAUACCGCAUAAGACCACGUGGUCUCCGGACCGAGUGGGAAAAGGUGGCCUCUUCUUGAAAGCUACCACCGAAGGAUGAGCCUGCGUCCCAUCAGCUAGUUGGUAAGGUAAUGGCUUACCAAGGCAAAGACGGGUAGCUGGUUUGAGAGAAUGAUCAGCCACACUGGCACUGGAACACGGGCCAGACUCCCACGGGAGGCAGCAGUGAGGAAUAUUGGGCAAUGGGCGAAAGCCUGACCCAGCCACGCCGCGUGAGUGAUGAAGGCCCUCGGGUCGUAAAGCUCUGUGGAGAGGGACGAAAACCCUAGGUUUCAAAUAGGCUCCAGGCUUGACGGUACCUCUUUAGCAAGCACCGGCUAACUCUGUGCCAGCAGCCG
rnacentral:rRNA from 1 species